rnacentral:rRNA from 1 species
AUUGAACGCUGGCGGCAUGCCUUACACAUGCAAGUCGAACGGCAGCACGGAGCUUGCUCUGGUGGCGAGUGGCGAACGGGUGAGUAAUAUAUCGGAACGUACCCUAGAGUGGGGGAUAACGUAGCGAAAGUUACGCUAAUACCGCAUACGAUCUAAGGAUGAAAGUGGGGGAUCGCAAGACCUCAUGCUCGUGGAGCGGCCGAUAUCUGAUUAGCUAGUUGGUAGGGUAAAAGCCUACCAAGGCAUCGAUCAGUAGCUGGUCUGAGAGGACGACCAGCCACACUGGAACUGAGACACGGUCCAGACUCCUACGGGAGGCAGCAGUGGGGAAUUUUGGACAAUGGGCGAAAGCCUGAUCCAGCAAUGCCGCGUGAGUGAAGAAGGCCUUCGGGUUGUAAAGCUCUUUUGUCAGGGAAGAAACGGUGAGAGCUAAUAUCUUUUGCUAAUGACGGUACCUGAAGAAUAAGCACCGGCUAACUACGUGCCAGCAGCCGCGGUAAUACGUAGGGUGCAAGCGUUAAUCGGAAUUACUGGGCGUAAAGCGUGCGCAGGUGGUUUUGUAAGUCUGAUGUGAAAUCCCCGGGCUCAACCUGGGAAUUGCAUUGGAGACUGCAAGGCUAGAAUCUGGCAGAGGGGGGUAGAAUUCCACGUGUAGCAGUGAAAUGCGUAGAUAUGUGGAGGAACACCGAUGGCGAAGGCAGCCCCCUGGGUCAAGAUUGACGCUCAUGCACGAAAGCGUGGGGAGCAAACAGGAUUAGAUACCCUGGUAGUCCACGCCCUAAACGAUGUCUACUAGUUGUCGGGUCUUAAUUGACUUGGUAACGCAGCUAACGCGUGAAGUAGACCGCCUGGGGAGUACGGUCGCAAGAUUAAAACUCAAAGGAAUUGACGGGGACCCGCGCAAGCGGUGGAUGAUGUGGAUUAAUUCGAUGCAACGCGAAAAACCUUACCUACCCUUGACAUGGCUGGAAUCCUUGAGAGAUCAGGGAGUGCUCGAAAGAGAACCAGUACACAGGUGCUGCAUGGCUGUCGUCAGCUCGUGUCGUGAGAUGUUGGGUUAAGUCCCGCAACGAGCGCAACCCUUGUCAUUAGUUGCUACGAAAGGGCACUCUAAUGAGACUGCCGGUGACAAUCCGGAGGAAGGUGGGGAUGACGUCAAGUCCUCAUGGCCCUUAUGGGUAGGGCUUCACACGUCAUACAAUGGUACAUACAGAGCGCCGCCAACCCGCGAGGGGGAGCUAAUCGCAGAAAGUGUAUCGUAGUCCGGAUUGUAGUCUGCAACUCGACUGCAUGAAGUUGGAAUCGCUAGUAAUCGCGGAUCAGCAUGUCGCGGUGAAUACGUUCCCGGGUCU